GACGAACGCUGGCGGCGUGCUUAACACAUGCAAGUCGAACGCUGAAGCCCUUUCGGGGGUGGAUGAGUGGCGAACGGGUGAGUAACACGUGGGUAAUCUGCCCUGUACUUCGGGAUAAGCCUUGGAAACGGGGUCUAAUACCGGAUAGGACCUGUCCUCGCAUGGGGGUGGGUGGAAAGUUCCGGCGGUAUGGGAUGAGCCCGCGGCCUAUCAGCUUGUUGGUGGGGUGAUGGCCUACCAAGGCGACGACGGGUAGCCGGCCUGAGAGGGUGACCGGUCAAACUGGGACUGAGACACGGCCCAGACUCCUACGGGAGGCAGCAGUGGGGAAUAUUGCACAAUGGGCGCAAGCCUGAUGCAGCGACGCCGCGUGGGGGAUGAAGGCCUUCGGGUUGUAAACUCCUUUCGCUAUCGACGAAGCCACUUGUGGUGACGGUAGGUAGAUAAGAAGCACCGGCUAACUACGUGCCAGCCGCCGCCGUAA
rnacentral:rRNA from 1 species